ACGGAAGGCAGCAGUGAGGAAUAUUGGUCAAUGGACGGGAGUCUGAACCAGCCAAGUCGCGUGAAGGAUGAAGGUAUUAUGUAUUGUAAACUUCUUUAGCAGUGGAGUAAUAAGGGGAUUGCGAUCCCUGAUGCAAGUACACUGAGAAUAAGGAUCGGCUAACUCCGUGCCAGCAGCCGCGGUAAUACGGAGGAUCCGAGCGUUAUCCGGAUUUAUUGGGUUUAAAGGGUGCGCAGGCGGCUUUUUAAGUCAGUGGUUAAAUCGUGACGCUCAACGUCAUCACGCCAUUGAUACUGGAGAGCUUGAUUGCGGUCGAGGUUUGCGGAAUUCGUUGUGUAGCGGUGAAAUGCAUAGAUAUGACGAAGAACACCGAUUGCGUAGGCAGCAGACCAGGCCGUAAAUGACGCUCAUGCACGAAAGUGCGGGGAUCGAACAGGAUUAGAUACCCUGGUA
rnacentral:rRNA from 1 species